AGUCUGGUGCCAGCAGCCGCGGUAAUUCCAGCUCCAUCAGUGUAUAUUAACGUUGUUGCGGUUAAAAAGCUCGUAGUUGGAUUUCGGAGUCGAAGGUCAAGACCCAUCAAAUUGGUGUGGUCCGACAGUCGCCUCCUAGCUUAGGGUAACAGCCUUUCUUCCUUUACGGGUUGAGAUGUGCCGUUCCCUAUCUUUUACUUUGAUAAAAUCAGAGUGUUCAAAGCAGGCGUCACUUGCCUUGAAUGUUGCCGCAAGGGAUAAUAGAAUAUGACUUCGGUCUUAUUUUGUUGGUUUCUAGGGCUGAAGUAAUGACUAAUAGGGACAGUUGGGGGCGCUCGUAUUGAGUUGUCAGAGGUGAAAUUCUAGGAUUUACUCAAGACGAACUACUGCGAAAGCAUUCGCCAAGGAUGUUUUCAUUAAUCAAGAACGAAAGUUGGGGGAUCGAAGAUGAUCAGAUACCGUCGUAGUCUCAACCAUAAACUACGUGGACCAACGAUCCGAGGAAGUUACAUGGAUGACUCUCCGGGCAGUUUGUGAGAAAUCAUAAGUAUUUGCAUUCCGGGGGGAGUAUGGUCGCAAGGCUGAAACUUAAAGGAAUUGACGGAAGGGCAUCACCAGGAGUGGAACCUGCGGCUUAAUUUGACCCAACACGGGGAAACUUACCAGGUCCGGACACAGUUAGGAUUGACAGAUUGAGAGCUCUUUCUCGAUUCUGUGGGUGGUGGUGCAUGGCCGUUUUUAGUUGGUGGAGUGAUUUGUCUGGUUAAUUCCGUUAACGAACGAGACCUUAACCUAUUAAUUAGUUAUGCGAACUUGGGCUUCGGUCCUUUCGGUUCGUGGACAACUGCUUAGAGGGACUCUCGGCAUCUCUAGCCGAUGGAAGUUUGAGGCUAAAACAGGUCUGUGAUGCCCUUAGAUGUCCUGGGCCGCACGCGCGUUACACUGACGAAUGCAACGAGUUCUUCCUUCUCCGAUGGGAGUGGGUAAGCUUUUAAAAGUUCGUCGUGAUGGGGAUUGAACCUUGCAAUUAUUGUUCAUGAACGAGGAAUUCCUAGUAAGCGUAGUUCAUCAAACUGCGUUGAUUACGUCCCUGCCCUUUGUACACACCGCCCGUCGCUAGUACCGAUUGAAUGAUCCGGUGAGGAUUCAGGACGGCAGAGCUUUAGUUUGCCUGAAAGGGUAAGCGGGUUCAGCCGGAAUUUGUUCAAACCGUGUCAUUUAGAGGAACUAAA
rnacentral:rRNA from 1 species